rnacentral:rRNA from 1 species
AGAAUGAACGCUGGCGGCAUGCCUAACACAUGCAAGUCGAACGAGACCUUCGGGUCUAGUGGCGCACGGGUGCGUAACGCGUGGGAAUCUGCCCUUAGGUACGGAAUAACAGUGAGAAAUUACUGCUAAUACCGUAUGAUGUCUUCGGACCAAAGAUUUAUCGCCUAGGGAUGAGCCCGCGUUGGAUUAGCUAGUUGGUGGGGUAAAGGCCUACCAAGGCGACGAUCCAUAGCUGGUCUGAGAGGAUGAUCAGCCACACUGGGACUGAGACACGGCCCAGACUCCUACGGGAGGCAGCAGUGGGGAAUAUUGGACAAUGGGCGAAAGCCUGAUCCAGCAAUGCCGCGUGAGUGAAGAAGGCCUUCGGGUUGUAAAGCUCUUUUACCCGGGAAGAUAAUGACUGUACCGGGAGAAUAAGCCCGGCUAACUCCGUGCCAGCAGCCGC